CUUGACCGAGCCGAGCCAGAGCGGCCGGUCCCGUUCCUGGCCGUAGGUGGCGAUGAGCGACUGGGCCUC
rnacentral:antisense_RNA from 1 species